CCUACGGGAGGCAGCAGUGAGGAAUAUUGGUCAAUGGACGGAAGUCUGAACCAGCAAUGCCGCGUGCAGGAAGACGGCUCUAUGAGUUGUAAACUGCUUUUGUACGAGGGUAAACCUGAAUACGUGUAUUCAGCUGAAAGUACUGUACGAAUAAGGAUCGGCUAACUCCGUGCCAGCAGCCGCGGUAAUACGGAGGAUCCAAGCGUUAUCCGGAUUUAUUGGGUUUAAAGGGUGCGUAGGCGGAUUGAUAAGUUAAGGGGGAAAUGUCCGAGCUUAACUCGGGAACUGCCUAUAAUACUGUUGAUCUAGAGAGUAGAUGCGGUAGGCGGAAUGUAUGGUGUAGCGGUGAAAUGCUUAGAGAUCAUACAGAACACCGAUUGCGAAGGCAGCUUACCAAUAUAUAUCUGACGCUGAGGCACGAAAGCGUGGGGAGCAAACAGGAUUAGAUACCCCGGUAGUC
rnacentral:rRNA from 1 species